GACGUAGGGCGCGAGCGUUGUCCGGAUUUAUUGGGCGUAAAGAGCUCGUAGGCGGCUUGUCGCGUCGUUUUGUGAAAACCCACAGCUCAACUGUGGGCUUGCAUGCGAUACUGGCAAGCUAGAGUGCGGUAGAGGGUAGUGGAAUUCCCGGUGUAGCGGUGAAAUGCGUAGAGAUCGGGAGGAACACCAGUGGCGAAGGCGGCUACCUGGACCAGCACUGACACUGAGGCACGAAAGCGUGGGGAGCAAACAGGG
rnacentral:rRNA from 1 species